UCCUUAGCCUCCGCCAUGACGACCGCGUCCACCUCACAGGUGCGCCAGAACUAGCACCAGGACUCAGAGGCCGCCAUCAACCGCCAGAUCAACCUGGAGCUCUACGCUUCCUACGUUUACCUGUCCAUGUCUUACCACUUUCACCGCGAUGAUGUGGCUUUGAAGAACUUUGCCAAAUACUUUCUUCACCAAUCUCACGAGGAAAGGGAACAUGCUGAGAAACUGAUGAAGCUGCAGAACCAAGGAGGUGGCCGAAUCUUCCUUCAGGAUAUUAAGAAACCAGACUAUGACGACUGGGAGAGCGGGCUGAAUGCGAUGGAGUGUGCUUUACAUUUGGAAAAAAAUGUGAAUCAGUCACUACUGGAACUGCACAAACUGGCCACUGACAGAAAUGACCCCCAUUUGUGUGACUUCAUUGAGACACAUUACCUGAAUGAGCAGGUGAAAGCCAUCAAAAAAAUUGGGUGACCACGUGACCAACUUGCGCAAGAUGGGAGCACCCAAAUCUGGCUUGGCAGAGUAUCUCUUUGACAAGUACACCCUGGGAGACAGUGAUAAUGAAAGCUAAGCCUCAGGCUAAUUUCCCCAUAGCCAUGAGGUGACUUCCCUGGUCAUCAAGGCAGUGCAUGCAUGUUGGGGUUUCCUUUACCUUGUCUAUAAGUUAUACCAAAACAUCCACUUAAGUUCUUUGAUUUGUACCAUUCCUUCAAAUAAAGAAAUUUG